CGUUCAGCACCGACCGUCAGCUCGUACAGCCAACAGCCCGCUCGAUUGUUUAAUGUUCAAGCCUGUACAAGCUGCUUGAAGCAAGAUAUAAAGCAGGUGUUGGAAGCCUCUGGAAAGUUUGCUGUCAAUUACUGCCAUUUCCUCUUCCCAACAAAGACUUAAAAGCGGAAUGGAUCUUUUCAGACUGAUGCUGCUGUACAUGCAUGAUGACACAGAAAGCCUAGAGGAUAGUUUUACCGUGCAGCUGACAGAUGGCAAGCGCACAGUCCAAGGGACACUUUACAUCUACAUCAUGGCACUCAACGAUGAAAUCCCUCAUCUUUCCAGUCCGUCGGAGGCGAGCUUCACAUCUCAAAUCUCAUUUAUGCAUUCCC
ensembl:lncRNA